UACAGAGGGUGCGAGCGUUAAUCGGAAUUACUGGGCGUAAAGCGUGCGCAGGCGGCUUUGCAAGACAGCUGUGAAAUCCCCGGGCUUAACCUGGGAACUGCAUUUGUGACUGCAUGGCUGGAGUGCGGCAGAGGGGGAUGGAAUUCCGCGUGUAGCAGUGAAAUGCGUAGAUAUGCGGAGGAACACCGAUGGCGAAGGCAAUCCCCUGGGCCUGCACUGACGCUCAUGCACGAAAGCGUGGGGAGCAAACAGG
rnacentral:rRNA from 1 species